rnacentral:rRNA from 1 species
UACGUAGGGGGCAAGCGUUAUCCGGAUUUACUGGGUGUAAAGGGAGCGUAGACGGCGGCGCAAGUCUGAUGUGAAAGCCUGGGGCUCAACCCCGGAACUGCAUUGGAAACUGUGCUGCUAGAGUGCCGGAGAGGUAAGCGGAAUUCCUAGUGUAGCGGUGAAAUGCGUAGAUAUUAGGAGGAACACCAGUGGCGAAGGCGGCUUACUGGACGGUAACUGACGUUGAGGCUCGAAAGCGUGGGGAGCAAACAGG